AGUCGAGCGGUAGCACGGGGAGCUUGCUCCUGGGUGACGAGCGGCGGACGGGUGAGUAAUGUCUGGGGAUCUGCCUGAUGGAGGGGGAUAACUACUGGAAACGGUAGCUAAUACCGCAUAACGUCGCAAGACCAAAGAGGGGGACCUUCGGGCCUCUUGCCAUCAGAUGAACCCAGAUGGGAUUAGCUAGUAGGUGGGGUAAUGGCUCACCUAGGCGACGAUCCCUAGCUGGUCUGAGAGGAUGACCAGCCACACUGGAACUGAGACACGGUCCAGACUCCUACGGGAGGCAGCAGUGGGGAAUAUUGCACAAUGGGCGCAAGCCUGAUGCAGCCAUGCCGCGUGUAUGAAGAAGGCCUUCGGGUUGUAAAGUACUUUCAGCGAGGAGGAAGGCAUUAAGGUUAAUAACCUUGGUGAUUGACGUUACUCGCAGAAGAAGCACCGGCUAACUCCGUGCCAGCAGCCGCGGUAAUACGGAGGGUGCAAGCGUUAAUCGGAAUUACUGGGCGUAAAGCGCACGCAGGCGGUUUGUUAAGUCGGAUGUGAAAUCCCCGGGCUCAACCUGGGAACUGCAUUCGAAACUGGCAAGCUUGAGUCUUGUAGAGGGGGGUAGAAUUCCAGGUGUAGCGGUGAAAUGCGUAGAGAUCUGGAGGAAUACCGGUGGCGAAGGCGGCCCCCUGGACAAAGACUGACGCUCAGGUGCG
rnacentral:rRNA from 1 species